rnacentral:lncRNA from 1 species
AAUUGCCCAUUUUUGCUAUGUUUACCUCUUAGAAUUGUAAGAUCACAAAAUGAAGAAGGAAAUACUAUACCAGCAAAUCCAAUUCACUGGUGCAGAAACUCAUAUGUGCCAUACCUAAAACUGGACAAAGAGUUGGUGACAGAACUCAGGUCUUCAAACUCAGCAAACUCAAUCACACAUGGAGGUUUGUGCUUGGUGCUUAUUGAGGAUGCCAGCAGCCACUUGAAAUUAAAGGUCAGACAUGAGGAGCCCCAGUUUCACAGAUGGGAACACUGCCUUGACUCUGCAAUGCUCUUCUUUGGAACAAAUUUGCUACAGCAAUGGAAGUGGAUAAGGUUUGCAGAGCACUCUAGCUCGGCUGCUGAAAUGAUCUGGUACUCAGUAAGAAAUCAGAAAUGUUAAGUCCUCACGGUACGACAGUGUAGUAGGACACCACACAUAGCUGGGUUAAGCAUGUACAAUGCUUAUUGCUAAUACUAGUACAAUCCAGUAGGCAUAUGGUUUGCAUGGUGUAGCUCUCAAAUCCAGAAAAGGUGUGCAUGCUUAGGCCUGCUUUGAAAUCAUCAUUCAAAUACUUUCUGAGGGACUGUGACAAUAAUAUGGUCAUUUUGAAAUGAAACUAUAGGUCAUACAAGUAGAAACCAGGGGAAAUAGGUGAGUGUGUGUGUGUAUAUAUAUAUAUAUAUAUAUAUAUGAGUGUGUGUAUGAGAAUCUACACAGUUGUAAAUCAUGACAAAAAGUGGGAUAGAAAUGGAUGAAGAAGGAAAAUGACCUGAAAAGGAAUGGGGACAAUACUCACUAACAUAACAGUGUGGGACCUUGCUGAGAAUGCAGUAAAGGCUGUGCUUUUCUAAGCACCCCCAGCAAUUCCAUUCUGAGUUUGCAAUUCUGGGUGCAGCUUUAGCCUCAGGGAAAAGGAUAGCACUGAAGCAAGGAAGUAAGCUAAAGCCUUUCAGAAACAUUAAAUUUGGCUAUUUUUCUGGAGUUGUUCUUUUUCCAAAUAAAACAAGUGGGAGGGAAGAAGAGAUGGGAUGA